UAACCAGAGUCCUGAUGGGUGCUGGUGUCCAGACCCAAGAUCUGGGGCUCCAGAGAGAGCAGGACUGGUGCCUGAGGACCGAGGCCCAGGGGGCGGCCCUUCCCUACCCUGCACAGGCCUGGCUAGGCUGGAAAGCUGUCCCACAGCUGCAGUGAGGACAGCCACAGGCAAGGAGCCUGGCCUGUUUGAUGUGGUCAUCGUUAAUGACAGCCUGGACCAGGCCUACGCAGAGCUGAAGGAGGCGCUCUCUGAGGAAAUCAAGAAAGCUCAAAGGACCGGCGCCUGAGGCUUGCUCUCUGUUCUCGGCACCCCGGGCCCAUACAGGACCAGGGCAGCAGCACUGAGCCGCCCCCUUGGCAGGCAAUAUGGCAGCUCUGUGCCCUUGGCCAGCAUGUGGAGUGGAGGGGAUGCUGCCCCUGUGGUUGGAACAUCCUGGGGUGACCCCCGACCCAGCCCCACCGGGCUGUCCCCUGUCCCUAUCUCUCACUCUGGACCCAGGGCUGACAUCUUAAUAAAAUAACUGUUGGAUUAGAAAGUCCAUAAA
rnacentral:sRNA from 1 species